GUGUGUGUGUGUGUGUGUGUGUGUGUGUGUGUGUAUACAUAUAUAUAUAUAUGUAUACACACACACACACACACAUAGAGUG
rnacentral:miRNA from 1 species